UCUCCGUAGGUGAACCUGCGGAGGGAUCAUUACUGAGUGAGGGCCUUCGGGCUCGACCUCCAACCCUUUGUGAACACAACUUGUUGCUUCGGGGGCGACCCUGCCGUUUCGACGGCGAGCGCCCCCGGAGGCCUUUAAACACUGCAUCAUUGCGUCGGAGCAUUUUUUGUAAAUCUAAACAAAACUUUCAACAACGGAUCUCUUGGUUCUGGCAUCGAUGAAGAACGCAGC
rnacentral:misc_RNA from 1 species